ACAACAGGCACAUGAAGAGAUGCUCAGCAUCAUGGACCAUCAGGGAAAUGCAAUUCAAAACCGCAAUGAGGUGUCACCUCACACCUGUCGGAAUGACUGUCUUCAAAGAGACAACAAACAGCAGCUUGGUGAGGAUGCAGAGAAAAGGGUCACACCCUGGAGCAUUGUUAGUGGGGGUAUGAAUUGGUGUGGGCACUGGAAAACAGUACGGAGGUGACAAAAAAGAAUUACCAUACAUUUCGGCAAUCCCACUCCUGGAUAUUUACCUGAAUUCAAAUUCACUAAUUUUGAAAUACAUAUUUCAAAAGAUAUAUGCACCCUUCCACUCACUGCAGCAUCAUUCACAGUAGUCAAGAUAUGGAAGCAACCUAAGUGUCCAUCAACAGAUGAAUGGAUAAAGAAGUGUAGGGAUAGGCAAUGGAAUGCUACAAAGCCAUAAAAACGACUUCCAUAGUGGUCCAGUUGUUUAGACUCUGUACUCCCAAUGCAGGAGGCCCAGGUUCCAUCCCUUAUCAGGGAAUUAGGUCCCAGGUGCUGCAACUAACUAAAUAAAUACUUUUUAAAGAGAACAAAAUGUUGCCAUUUCCAACAGCAGGCUGGACCUGGAGGGUAUUAUCCAAAGUGAAACCAGUCAGAGAAAAACCAGUAGUGUAGGAUAUCACACAUGUGGAAUCUAGAAAAACAAAAACAAAAAAACCCAAAGGAGCAAACAUGAAACAGAAAUAGAGUUGUAGACACAGGGAACCAAGAGGUGGUUAGCAGAGGUGACAGACCCUCAUGGAAGCUGUGGAAGGGUACAAACUGCCAGUCACACUGGUGUGCAGCAUGCUCAGUAUAAUGGACGCAGGGUCAAGUCAGAGCAAGGUCUGGGGCUGCAUGGUGCUCAGUGGUAGGGAACCCACCUGCCAGUGCCGGAGACCCGGGUUCAAGCCCUGGCCGGGAAGACCCCACACGCAGCGGAGCAACGAAGCCCGUGCACGGACUGCUGAGCCCCAGAGCCCACGCUCUGCAGCAAGAGGAGCCCCUGCGGUGAGGGCCUGAGCUCGACAACUAGCGCGUCGCCCCACUCUCCCCAGCCAGAGAAAAGUCUGCACAGCAACGACGACCCAGCACAGCCAAAAAUAAAUCUUAAACAGAGUGAAGUCUCGAGUGCCCAUCACGAGGCUCUGUCAGUCCCGGGCUCCCACCCCCAGCAGCAGAUGGCGAGUGUAUCCAACAUCAAGGCAUGGAGGCCCAGCAGAACCUGAACAGGCUGGAAGGGUGGCGGGGGCAGGCGCGGCCCUCUCCUGGCCCCACAGGUGCUGGCACCCCCCAGGAGAGCAGAGGCCAGGAGAGGGUCUGCUCCCGCCCAGGACGUGGCUGCUUGUCUGAUGCGGGCCGGGGGAGCGGACGUCUGUCCUGACGAAGGACGAAGCCAUAAAUGCCGCAGAGACGAACGGACACAGAGAGCCCCUGGCUUCCCACACCCAGCAGCACGUCCGCGCCUCAGGCACGCACUCCGUGAGGGCAGGGACCAUGUGGCCCUGUGCUCCCUGCCGUCCCCAGCCCUCACUGCUGGGGCCCGACUGGCAGAUGGGGGGCUAUCUCUUCCUUCCCGGGUGGACAUGCCCACCUGAGCCCAGAGCCUGUCUGACAGGGGUCCUUUCCAGCAUCCCUUCUCUCUGUGCCUUUGGUUCCUCUUUCCUUAGGAAACAAAAACUCAAGUCUCUCCUAUUAAAAUGAAACAGAGCAAAACAAAGCAAAAACACGACCACGUUUCCCAAAACCCCUCCCUUUCUAGCUGUGUGUCUGUUUUUCACCCUUUUUUCUCCACCUAGUUCUCAAAACUUACAUGCCUGGUUCCAGCUCACCAGGACAGCAAUGAUUUCCUAAUUGCAAAAUUCUAGGAAAACUUCUCAGCGCAGAUGAUGGGAGGUGAUCGGACAGGUGAGCGUGUCCCGGCGUACCCACGAGGACGCCGGUGCUGGAAGAACUUAAUUUGCCCCGUUCCCAGGCUAGGGUUCGGAGUUGGAUUUCUGUGACUUCAAAACCCAAGCUGGUCCACUCGUCCUUCUGCCUCUCCCAGAUCAGGUCUGAACUGCUCUGAGCCGGGCCUGGCGUGUGGGGCACGUCUGUGGGCAGACCUUGGGGUGGGAAACCCAGCCAGCAGGGGUGGGAGGAGCGGGACCAUGACCCAGUUUGGGCCUGGCCUGGGGCUUCAGCCUCAGCAUCUGCUGAGUCAUCCCGCAGCCGGACUGAGUGGCUGGCUGGGCCUCCUCCCCACCCGCCUGACCCGCUUCUUCAGGUCAGGGCAGACAGAAUGGCAUCCCUGGGGGCCCCGGGCCCUGGGGCGUCCACCUCUCCUCUUCAGGAGAGCCCUGUGGAUACCCCCUCCCCCGUGGGCCUCUGUCCACCCAGCUCCUGCAGAGAACUACACACUUUCCUCUGAUACAGUCUCAUUGCACCAAAGGAACAGGCGCUCACUAGCUCAAAAUAAACACACGUUUCUCCUUCA